GACGAACGCUGGCGGCGUGCUUAACACAUGCAAGUCGAACGGAAAGGCCCUGCUCUUGUGGGGUGCUCGAGUGGCGAACGGGUGAGUAACACGUGAGUAACCUGCCCUUGACUUUGGGAUAACUUCAGGAAACUGGGGCUAAUACCGGAUAGGAGCUCCUGCUGCAUAGUGGGGGUUGGAAAGUUUCGGCGGUUGGGGAUGGACUCGCAGCUUAUCAGCUUGUUGGUGAGGUAGUGGCUUACCAAGGUUUUGACGGGUAGCCGGCCUGGGAGGGUGGACGGGCACAAUGCGACUGAGGUACGGACCAGACUCGUACGGGAGGCAGCAGUGGAGAAUAUUGCACAAUGGGCGGGAGCCUGAUGCAGCAACGCCGCGUGCGGGAUGACGGCCUACGGGUUGUAAACCGAUGUCGCCGGUGACGAGGCGUGAGUGACGGUAAUGGGUAAAGAAGCACCGGCUAACUACGUG
rnacentral:rRNA from 1 species